UAACAACACAGAGGGCCAGGCGUAGUGCCGCUGCCGGGGAAGGGCUAGUGACUCUCACGAACAGACAGAUAUUCACUCUGAGUUACCCCGCCACGGCCGUCGCAGCCUGCAGCACGAAAGUGUGUUGGGAGAAAUGGCAGAAAAAGCUGCGCCUGUGACAUUGUGGUGAACGUCUGUGCUCGUUCCUACGUGGGAGUGAAACUGAAGAUUGCUCACAAUCUUACGGGGUUUUUUUUCCAAUGGAAUUAUUCUUCUCUGAAGGUCAUGGAGAGGAAAAAAUGACCACUGGAAACCUAUCUGCCUUUGCUUAGCUUUUUAACCUGUUUUUGCCUGCCUACACUUCCAGGAGACUACUGCAAUGACAGAUCCUUCCAUGGUGGAUCACCUGACACGACUGAAACUCAAACUCCUAGAAAAGAGACUAGAAAAUGAACAGGAGAGCUUAGAGAAGAUGGAGUCACCUCUCCCAGCUGCAAGGAACAGACGUGAGGAUAUGCUCCAAAGCGCCCUAAGGCGAAGGAAAGAUCUCCUGCAGGAGCUUAGGGAGCAGCACCUUCUGGAAGAGCUUUCACAGCCGCCUGCACCAUCUGGAGGACAAUGUCAUAACCACAGAGAUGCCCCCCCGCAUGUCUACCAGAUACCUUUUCCAGCUCCCCAUGUGGAGCCACCAAGGAUUAUCCAGCAGACGAUGCCGCCUCAGCCUGCCACCAUCAUCCAGCAGUUACCUCAUCCAUCCCCCCUGAUCACGCAGAUCCCCCCUGCCCAGCCCUUUGCAGCCCCCCGCUCUGGAAGCAUUAAAGAAGACAUGGUAGAAAUGAUGCUGAUGCAGAAUGCUCAGAUGCACCAGAUCAUCAUGCAGAACAUGAUGCUGAAGGCUCUGCCACCGAUGUCGUUUGCACAGCCUGCUGGAGCCAGCUCUCCCCUGCUUCAGCAUGCGCUGCAGGACCUGCAGUUUGCUGCUCCCCUGGCUGUGAAAGCAGACAGGCCCAGGCCAUCCGCGGUGCACCACCACCACCACUACCCCCCCACCGGGGUGCUCCCGGUGCCCCACGGGGGCUUCCCAUCCUCAUCCACGGCACACCACUGGACUGGCAGCACGCUCCCUGCCCUGCCUACGUGGCCCACAUACUGACAGUACACGCUCCUCUCCAAGUGGACCAUGGCCUUGCUGAGGUCAGCCUGUAUUUGAACAGUUCCUAAAUAAUCUGUCUGAUGAUUGACAGCCUAAUGCCUGUAUGACUGCACUGGUACAAGAAGGGAGCGGGAGAAAGGCUGCAGAUGUUCAGAACAAACGUACCGUGCACCUGUGGUCUGCUCACCCACUUCUGCUAGUUCAGUUGUUUCCUCAUAUCUUCCAAGCCCAGAACAGCCACAAACAAGCACCACUGGUUUUGCCCUUUCUUCACAGAACCAAGAAAACCCACCCCGAAGUGUCUUGCAGGCUUGGCAGCAGUCCCUGGGCGUGAAAUAAUCUGAGCACCACUGUUAUCUGAGCCCUUGCAAAGGAGGGUGACCCAGCUCCAGGGCUGAGAGUCCCCUACACCUGCAUGGAAAUGCCCCGUGCAAAGGGGGCUGCUGCCCUCCCAGGGAGGACAAUGCAAACUAACCCAGGACGCCUGAAUGAGGGUUUAGUCCCCAGACUUCAUCAGCCUGAAGUGUUCCUCCCUCAGCAUUUUUGGGUUUACUCUGUCACUCACAUAUAUUCGUCCGACAGUAAUUACCUACCUGGGGAACUAAAGAUGAGCAGGAACCAUCCAAAUGCAAGUUACCUGCAUAGCAGAGCAAAAUCUUGGCAUUGGGUUUUCCCAAAGACCACCACUUUUCCCUACCUGUGCCAGUUGGCUUUACUCACUAUUUGGAUAAAUAAUUCUCAGUGGAGAAGAACAGAAGGAAAUCUGCUUCUGUGGUCAUUGGGUUUAAACGUCGCUGUGCAAUGCCCACCCCCAGCUAACCACAGUCCACGUUUUCUGCCCCAGGAGGGCUCUGACUCUCAGCCUCUCCCAAAUCUCACAUUUACAAAGCUACCCAUGGUUUUCUUCUCAAAGAGCUAUUGGAAGGUGAUUUAAGCAGCCUGGAAUUGUGUAUAUUUGUUUCAUUGUUUCUCAACCUUUCUCUCAUAUAAUCAGGGUUUAGACUUGACUUUUAAAUAAUAAAAUCCCGAGGUUCUUCCUUGGAUAUUGGCAUGUCUUUUUCUUCAGCAACAUAAAUCAAACAUUUUCCCAUUCUUUACUUUUCCCACAAUGUUUCAGAGGGCAGACUUUAAUCUGACCCCAUGCUAUCCUAUUUUUUUUUUUUCAUUUAGGACUCCUCGGGAGGCUCACUCAGAGUUUUAAUCAAGUGAUAUUUUUGGUUGUGUUUAUUACAGAAAGAUAAACAAUGACUUGGUUGCACUUUCUCAAUGUCUUUCCACCUUCUCCUGUUUUUAAAGUGGAGAACAUUUUUAUGUUGGUUUUGCCUGGUGCAGUUUAUGAGUGAAUCUGAUUAAGAUAACCCAGGGACCUAAAUUUUGUUUGGAAUGGUUACCCAGAAGAAAAGAUUUUGCACUGGGCACAGAGAGUCCCUGAUAGGCAAUGGUUAGUCUGGUUUGCCAAGAGCUAUUGUCAGUAGCUAAGCAGACAGGUUUGGCAACGAGAAGCAGAUAUGCAUUAUCUUGGAAGGAAAAACUUUCAAACUGCGACCCACAUACGGUACCACGUAACGCUGCUCGCCGACAGGAGUCUGCGAAUGAAUUGGCGUACCUUAAAGUGCUGCUAUCAAAUUCAUGAGCCAGUGUGGUGGAGCAAUCUGUAAAGCCUACUGGUCAAGUAUGCAAAGGGUGCUCGUUGGCUGAGCAGAGCACUUCCUCCCAAGGACGGGCACGUGAAAUGGUGCACGCAGAGAUGUCUCCUCACAGUCUCGUCCCAGUCCUGGAAACCUUCUGCAGAUUAGGCAUGGGCCUCUGCUCAGAUCACGCCCCAGAACGCUGGAGCCACACACAGCUUCCUGGGGUGAAAGAUGUCCUCGCAGAUGGGAUCGGGGCAAGCGGCAUGGUUCACAUCCCACCCUCAGAAGUGUCUGUCCCGUGAGGCCCUGGGAGUUAGUCCGCAUCAUCCCACGGUGCCUCUGCAGCUGCAGCCCAGCAAAGCACCAGCAAAAGCCUGGCAGAUGCAAGUUCUCCUCCUGUUUUUUGUGCAUUUCAUUAGGAUGUCCUUGAAGGCUGCAGAAUUGCUUUACAAUUUUCAAAAGAUGCCUUUUGGUAAGGCCUGGCAGAAU